UUCCAUUUUUCUCCAUCGGCUUAAAUUCGAUCGAUUGAUUACCUGUUCCAAAUUCCGGCUGCCAAGGUCAACAUAGUCCUCCUACUCAAUUCUCCUUCCAACACAAUCGGCCUUCCCUGACGAUGUCGUCGGAGAUCGAGAUUGUGGAGGAGGACCGAAGGGAUGUCACCCACUCCGGUGUAGGCAGUACUAGCGGCGUCCCAUCUUCUUCUACGGAGGGUUCUACUGCUACGGAGGAGGAAGCGUUGCGAAACGAUGUCUACACGGCGGCGGCCUACGGCGAUCUCGAGAAGCUGCAGAGGCUGGUGGAGUCUGAGAGCUGCUCCGUCACGGAGCCUGAUGGCGGUGGCUAUUACGCUCUUCAAUGGGCUUCGCUGAAUAACCGCACCGCUGCUGCUCAAUACAUUAUCGAGCAUGGGGGAGCUGUAAAUGCAGUGGACCACACGGGGCAGACUGCUCUCCACUGGAGUGCGGUGCGUGGACACAUUCCUGUUGCGGAGCUGUUACUCAAGGAAGGCGCUCGUGUUGAUGCCGCAGACUACUACGGUUAUCAGAGUACCCACGUGGCUGCUCAAUAUGGUCAGACAGCAUUUCUCUACCACGUAGUUACAAAAUGGAAUGCUGAUCCUGAUGUGCCUGACAAUGAUGGAAGAAGCCCUCUGCAUUGGGCUGCCUAUAAGGGGUUUGCUGAUAGUAUUCGCCUUCUUCUAUUUUUGGAUGCAUACAGAGGGAGGCCGGACAAGGAAGGUUGCACUCCUCUUCAUUGGGCUGCUAUCAGAGGGAAUUUGGAAGCUGCAACGGUGCUAGUUCAGGCUGGGAAAAAGGAGGACCUCAUGGUGACGGAUAAUACUGGUUCUACUCCUGCGCAGCUAGCUGCUGAUAAGAAUCAUCGGCAAGUUGCCUUUUUCCUUGGAAAUGCUAGAAGAUUGUUUGAUAGACGAUGUGAUGGGAAUACCUAUUUUGGAAGAUUAUCAAAACUAGGACUUGCUCCUUUCCUUUGGUGCAUUAUUAUCUCUCUGCUUGCUACAUAUACAAAUUCGGUAGUAACAGGAUCAAGUUUUUCAAGGUUGACACCGGCAUUUGGGCUUUUUGCAUGGCUGGGAGUUUUACUUGGUUGUUCAGGUUUAUUUAUGUUCUAUAAGUGUAGCAGGAAAGACCCUGGAUAUAUCAGAAGAAAUGUUCGAGAUUCACAGAACAUUAGAGAUGAUGAACCUCUCCUAAAGACAGAACUCGAAAGUCCUGCUUUACUGGCAGGAAAUUGGUCUCAACUAUGUGCAACUUGCAAGAUAGUUAGGCCUUUGCGGGCAAAGCACUGUUCCACAUGUGAUAGAUGUGUUGAGCAGUUUGAUCAUCACUGCCCAUGGGUAUCAAAUUGCAUUGGCAAGAGAAAUAAAUGGAAUUUCUUCAUUUUUCUUCUUCUUGAGGUCACUGCUAUGGUUAUUACUGGUUCUGUUACAUUUAUAAGAAUUGCAACAGAUCCAACAGCCCCGUCUUCUUUUGGCGCAUGGCUGAGUUAUUCUGCUAUCCAUCAUCCAGGCGCAUUGUCAUUUCUUGUAGUGGUCUUCCUUCUUUUCUUUGGAGUCGCAGUAUUAACUAUCGUACAGGCACAACAGAUUUCAAGAAAUAUCACAACAAACGAAAUGGCCAAUGGAUUGCGAUAUAGCUAUCUUAGGGGACCAGGGGGCAAGUUUCGAAACCCGUAUGACCAUGGGGUUUACAAAAAUUGUUCGGAUUUCUUAAUAAAGGGCUAUAAUGAGGACGUAGAAGUGGCCUAUCACAAUUUGAAUUCUGAAGAGACAAACAUGAUUCAGAUGACGAACAUAGUUUCACAGAACAGCGAGAACCAAGCCAACCAAGCAAAUGGCAACGGCCAUCUUAGCAUCAACUUCGACUCCAAAGGCUCUCCACGGACUCAUGGGCAUGUACAUACAUCAAAGUGUAGCCAUGGUAAAAACAGCUCCAGUGGCAGCAACAGCAACAACAACAGCAGAGGCAGUAGGAUUCCAUUUGGAUUGGGUUUAGGCCUUGGCCGUAACAAUGCUCGUCACAGUUCUCCUUCAGUUCUUGCCACAUAGCUCUCACAGUGGUGAUUGUAAUACAUGAUCAUUUGUGGCAGCAAUGAUGCCUGGAGAUCUUCGAAGAGAAAGGGAUGGGCCAAACACUUGGGAUUGAAAAGUGGCAUAACAAACUCUAGUACUUGGACCGAGAGGGGAUGAACUCAGCUCUGACAUCCAUAGCGGAAAGCUCUGCAGUAGGAGAAUUUGGGAGGAACGUCGAGGAUGUGUUAUUGCUACAUCACAGACGUAUGAGACAUUCUAGUCAUAGUUUACUAUGUCGGUUGUAUCCAUCUAUGUAGGAAAAGACAAAUAAGGAGAAACUGGUGUGUGAUGUUU